GGGUUGCCAUGUUUCAGGAAAAAAAGAACUGAUGGCUGAUGUUGCAACCAUGCCUAUAUCCAAAACGAUUUAUGAAUAUUGGCAGCAGAAAAGAGCAAUGGUUUUGAUACGGCAUUUUCAGGCAUCUCGAGCCUUGGUUUCAAAAAAGAAGGUAUCUCAACUAUGCGGAGAAGAAAAUAGCAAUAGCGUGGAGCUCAAAAAUAAAUCAGUUCCAGUUGAUGGGAGCAUAUGAAAUGAAACUCAAAGCACAGAUGGUCCUGUCCUUUCAGCCUCUGAUAAUAGCAUAUAAGGAUGUCCAGUAUUUUGUUGAAACCCCAACAAAAAAGAUUGCAAUUGCUCCAUGAUAUCACCUGAGUCUUUAGGCCAAGAGUUCUCUCUGCACCAAUAAAACUGGAGGUAUAAUUGAAGGAGAUAUUGGAGGAUACCCCAAAGUGCAGAAGACAUUUGUGUGGGUUUCAGGUUAUUGUGAGCAGAAUGACAUACAUUCUACACACCGUAGUAGUAGAAAAUUACUAUGUCUUUUAUUGCUUUUGGUUUAUUUUCAUGAUUUCAUUAUUGACACCGUCUCUUAUCCUUUGUUUCUGUUUUGAUC